AUAACAAUAGUAAUUUUUGUAUUAAGUGCGCGAAAUGAGUGUUUUUUUAAUGGCGCCUGAGAAUGUUAUUUUAGUCGAGACCGCCAGGUCGAGACCUAAAAGACAUUCGAAGGCGCCAUUAAAACAUGAAUUUCGCCACGAAAUACAAACAACGUUUUUUCUACAGCCUCCAGAUGAAGAAAAAAGUAACAGAAAUUAGUUGGAACAAAAUGGUCUGAUAAAUCGAGUUGCUUGCAUGGUUACGAUGAUAAAUAAAAGUGAUAGUUGCGAAAAAUUUGUCACAAUAGGUAUUUUUGUUGAAGAAGUGUGAUGGAUUUUAGCAGCGAAAACGAAAUAGAUGCAAUUGCAAGCGCGGCAGUGUCGAAUCUUUUGCCUGCUAAAUCAAGACCGCAGUACGAAAAAACGUAUCUUCAGUUUCGGCAGUGGUGUUCUAUGAAAAAGAUUGAUCAAGUAACGGAAAAUGUUUUGUUGGCGUAUUUGGAAGAAAAGUCUACCACCUUAAAGCCACCAACACUCUGGGCCCUUUAUGCGAUGUUGAAAGCCACCUUAAACGUUAAAGAGAAUAUCGAUACACAAGCAAGAAGUCGCAAAUUUUAGACAAAGAAGACAUUAGCAAGUUUAUUAAUGAAGCAGAUGACAAGAUAUAUUUACUGAUGAAGGUAAACUUAUCAUAUUAGUGUAAUACAAAUCAAAACAACUCGUUUUAUUUAUAGACUGUGCUAAUUUUGGGUAUAUCGGGAGCCCUUCGACGUGAAGAAUUAGUUAAAAUGAAGCUAACUGACAUAGAAGAUAAACAGUCUGUCUUAAUUGUGAAGGUGCCUGAUACAAAAACCCACUGCGAACGAAUAUUUACUGUUUCAAAUUUAGAAAAUAUAGAAAUUGUCAGAAAAUAUAGAGCUUUGCGGCCUCCACGGGCGACUAGUGACCGUUUAUUUUUAAAGUAUACCAACGGAAAAUGUGUGAAUCAAAAUGUUGGAAUUAACAAAAUCGGAGAGAUACCAAGUUUGAUUGCAAAGUGGCUUAACAAAGACGAACCUAAAAAAUAUACUGGUCACUGCUUCAGAAGAAGCUCUGCCACUCUUUUGGCGAAUGCUGGAGGUGAUCUAAUUUCAAUUAAACGUCAUGGGGGCUGGAGAAGCAGCACAGUGGCAGAAAGUUACAUCGAGGACUCUUUGAAUAAUAAAAUUGAAAUUGCCAAUAAAAUUCAACCUUCUUCCUCCACAGAAGAAAACAAAAUCACUCAACCUUCUACAUCGGCUUCUUUUAAUGGCGAAAAUAACUUUCAUUUACAAGCGUCUUCACUCAGGCCUCUGGGGAUAAACGGGGGCACGUUUUCGUCAUGCACAUUUAAUUUUCAUAUGUCAAAGUAAAUAUCUAUUAUUAUUGUUUUGUAAUAUUGUUCUGUAUAAUUAUAAAACCUUUAAAACUA